rnacentral:rRNA from 1 species
UACGUAGGGGGCAAGCGUUGUCCGGAAUCAUUGGGCGUAAAGAGCGUGUAGGCGGUCCGAUAAGUCCGCUCUGAAAGCCCGGGGCUCAACCCCCGGGAGGCGGGCGGAUACUGUCGGGCUAGAGUCCGGAAGAGGCAAGUGGAAUUCCUGGUGUAGCGGUGAAAUGCGCAGAUAUCAGGAGGAACACCGAUGGCGAAGGCAGCUUGCUGGGACGGUACUGACGCUGAGACGCGAAAGCGUGGGGAGCGAACAGG